CGUCAUCGCUCCAGCAUUACCUCUGAAACUUAUUCUUCUGUGGGAAAAGGAUUUUACAACGUCUCCGCCUUCUUCAUCCACGCGGCGUCGCUCCGUCAGGCUUUCGCCCAUUGCGGAAGAUUCUUAG
rnacentral:rRNA from 1 species